UAAUUGAAUCUCCAAAAGCAAACAAGAUUAUCUCUGAAAAAAAUUUGGAUUAUGGGAAUUUGAAGCGUUGAUUAAUCUAUUCUAGACAUUGAUUAUUUCAUAAAAUUGGUAAUCUUGUUCAUGUUCCUUUAACGAGGGAGUUUUGAUCUUUGUUCUUCAUUUCCUCCAUUUCUCCUCUCUCUCUCUCAAUCGAUUCAGCCGAUUGAACACAAACUCUCUCUGUAGCAGCGAAAAAGAAGCGGUUUCAGGCCAACCCCACUUCAAAACUCUCCCCCUUUCUCCUUCAAUCUCCUUCUUCUUCAUCUUCCAUCGCCAUUUUUCUCUGUAAUUCCUCCAUUACAAUGCUGGGUUUAGCCCCUCACUUCUCUCUUCGUACCCUUUUCCCCGGAUCCGCCAUAGCCAUGGAUCAUCCCUCUGCUUCUCGCCCUUCCUCUUCCCUUCACUUCUCUGUUCUCCGAUCGCGGCCCAAUGCGGUUAGCUCUCGCCGACCCAAGUCGAUCCUCGUUUCUUGCCACUCUUCUCGUGAUAGAUCCACCCACAGUGACGAUGAUUCCCAUCAGGAUUACUUCGAAGCUUCGUUUCUUGUUUCAGAGACUAUCUAUCACUAUCGAAUGUGGAAGAAGAGGUUUCAAGAGGACGCGAAUUUCAAUCAGAUUGAAUCGCGAGUCAAUUCCCCUUUACUUGGACUGGGGUUUUUUAGACGUUUUCGAAGCCCUACUGUGUUCCUCAAAAUUUCUUGCAAUGGUGACUUUCUACUGCCAAUUGUCGUAGGGGAAUAUGCUAUUGAGAAACUUAUAGAUUCUCACCUUGGGAUUGAAAAUGGGGAAGCCCCAGAUCUCUUUCAGUUUAUACAAGACCUUAUGGUGAAAGUUGGCUAUGAAGUCACGACGGCGAGAAUUACUGAAAGAGUGGUGAAUACUUACUUUGCACGGCUCUUCUUGAGAAAGGAUGGGGAAAACGAGACGUUAAGUGUGGACGCACGCCCCUCAGAUGCCUUAAAUAUUGCAUAUCGGUGUAAGAUACCGGUACUCGUUAGUAAGCAGAUUGUCUAUGAGGAUGCGAUAAGAGUUAGUUUCGGGUUUGGAAGAGUGCGCAAGAGGAAGUCAUGUUUCGAUGUUCUACUUGACUGUGCUGCAGAUGGUCCAGAUUUCUUGUCCGAGGAACUUGAUAUGCUGAAGAACAUGAAAAUGGCUAUUUACGAAGAACGAUACAAAGAUGCAGCUAUGUGGAGAGAUAAGUUAACAAGGCUUCGAAAAUCUGUACAUGAGGCGUAACGUCGAACUGCACUUGGACGUGUUGUUCCAGUAAGUAACUUCCUGUAAUCAACUGAUGUACGGGGAAAGGAAUUGUUCGCUUGCAGGCAUCUCUUAGAACGUCGAGUUCAGCAUUGGAUGGAUUGGGGACACAGAGCGGACUGCUACGCAUCGUUGCAGAAAGUUAUCGAUAAAGAUGGUCGGUCUGUACAGUUACAGUUAAAAGAGGUAUGUAAAUACUACAUUUGGGUAGUCAAUGUGUUGUAUCUCUAAGAUGUGAAUGUUAUGGUUGAUAUUCAUUCUUCACAUAGAGAGAGAGAGAGAGAGAUGCUGAAUGUGAAAGGAAGCUUUUGUAUAUCUUAACAAAGAUCCUUUUGUGGUUAUAAACGAAGCGAAAAAGUAAACGAUUGCUCAUA